rnacentral:rRNA from 1 species
GAUGAACGCUGGCGGCGUGCCUAAUACAUGCAAGUCGAGCGAACGGACGAGAAGCUUGCUUCUCUGAUGUUAGCGGCGGACGGGUGAGUAACACGUGGAUAACCUACCUAUAAGACUGGGAUAACUUCGGGAAACCGGAGCUAAUACCGGAUGAUAUUUUGAACCGCAUGGUUCAAAAGUGAAAGACGGUCUUGCUGUCACUUAUAGAUGUAUCCGCGCUGCAUUAGCUAGUUGGUAAGGUAACGGCUUACCAAGGCAACGAUGCAUAGCCGACCUGAGAGGGUGAUCGGCCACACUGGAACUGAGACACGGUCCAGACUCCUACGGGAGGCAGCAGUAGGGAAUCUUCCGCAAUGGGCGAAAGCCUGACGGAGCAACGCCGCGUGAGUGAUGAAGGUCUUCGGAUCGUAAAACUCUGUUAUUAGGGAAGAAAAUAUGUGUAAGUAACUGUGCACAUCUUGACGGUACCUAAUCAGAAAGCCACGGCUAACUACGUG